rnacentral:lncRNA from 1 species
AGAAAGUGAGACACUGACAGAACAGGAUUUACAGUUAUAUUGCGAUUUUCCUAAUAUUAUUGAUGUCAGUAUUAAGCAAGCAAACCAAGAGGGUUCAAAUGAAAGCCGAGUUGUAACUAUCCAUAAGCAAGAUGGUAAAAAUCUGGAAAUUGAACUUAGCUCAUUAAGGGAAGCUUUGUCUUUCGUGUCAUUAAUUGAUGGAUAUUAUAGAUUAACUGCAGAUGCACAUCAUUACCUCUGUAAAGAAGUAGCACCUCCAGCCGUGCUUGAAAAUAUACAAAGCAACUGUCAUGGCCCAAUUUCGAUGGAUUUUGCCAUUAGUAAACUGAAGAAAGCAGGUAAUCAGACUGGACUGUAUGUACUUCGAUGCAGUCCUAAGGACUUUAAUAAAUAUUUUUUGACUUUUGCUGUCGAGGUUAGUAUGUCACACUUAUUAGUGGUAACACUUUAUUUAGUUCAUUUAAUUUCCUCUCCAUAUUUAUUUACCAUAUUUCCUUUUUAAUACUGAGAAUUAUAGCUUUGGAUAUGAUAACUAGUAUAAUGCUUAAUUUCCUCAGAGAUUCUGUACAAAUAAACAAGUUAUAAUUCCCAGGGUUUAUAUAAAAAUAUAAAAUAAUUUAUAAUGUCUAUCUUUUUAUUUUGCAUUUAUUUUAUUUUCUGAUGUUUUGGUGUUACCAGUGUGUUAAAAGGUAUUUCAUCAAGUGUCUUGAUGUUUCUUUGUUUGCAAAACUGGAAAUCUUUGCCACAUCAUGUAGAACAAAAUAAAUCGGAAGCAAAUUUUCUGUUUAUUAACAGUGGUUGCAGAAUUAGAGGAAACAGAAUUAGAGAAAACUAGGUCAAUAACAAACAAAUAGAAACAUUAAAGCACUUUUAACUGAUGAUUUUCUAAUAUUUUUAAGAAUAGUGGUCUACAAUGCAUGUUUCAACGGUAAAACUGCAAUGAAACCCCACUGUUAAUACAGAUCAUUUUGGAUCUCAUCUAUGAUUAUAUACUAUCACUUAUGAGGCAAUUUCAUGGUAUAAAUCCUAAGAAACUAUAGAAGCUUGCAAAUUUAUCUUGCUUUUUUAAAACAGAGAAAAAUAAGAACUUUGUUAUUCAAUUAUUUUAAUUUUUAUAAAAUGCAACUUAUAUUUGGCAUAUGUAGAGGGUAGAUUACUUACAGAAGGGAGGUUAUGCCAUCACUUUACCUUUGUGUAAAACUGGUAAUCUAUCCUAAUUUCAAAGUAUCCUGUUACUAUAACAGAUAAUAGUACAUUAUAUUCAAGUAUGAAUUCAAAAAAAUAUAUAUAUAUAUUUUAUGUUCACUGUAUGUGCCAAGCCUAAUAUGAGAGCUAUGUAUUAUAGAGUUUAUGCUACAGCCCUACCUUCAGGAAACUUAUCUACUGGACAAACAAAAAUUUUCAAAUAUAC